rnacentral:lncRNA from 1 species
AAUGAAGUAUUUUUAAUUAGGGUCCCGCCAAAGGCGGUCCCCUAUAGUGAUCAGUCUGUCCGUCCGUCCGUCCGUCCGUCUGUCCGUCCGUCCGUAACACUUUGUGUCCGCUCCAUAUCUAGAGAACCAUUAUGAUUUCAUACUUUAUACUUUACAUGUUUAUUAACCACCACCAGAGGGCGUGUCAUGAUGUAUGUACAACUUCCUAGGUCAAAGGUCAAGGUCAAAAAACUUUGGUUUCAGUUGACAACCCUGUGUCCUGUGGUGAAGAUCGUGUCCGCUCUAUAUCUUGAGAACCGUUAUGAUUUCAAAGUUUAUACUUGACAUGUAUAUGAACCAACACCAGAGGGUGUGUCAUAAUUUAUGAACGACUGCCUAGGGCAAAGUUCAAGUCAAAACUUUGGGUUUCAGUUGACAACCCCAUGUCCUAUGGUAAAGAUUGUGUCCGCUCUAUAUCUUGAGAACCGUUAUCAUUUCAAAGUUUA